rnacentral:rRNA from 1 species
UGGCUAACUCCUACGGGAGGCAGCAGUGGGGAAUAUUGGACAAUGGGCGAAAGCCUGAUCCAGCAAUGCCGCGUGAGUGAUGAAGGCCUUAGGGUUGUAAAGCUCUUUUACCCGAGAUGAUAAUGACAGUAUCGGGAGAAUAAGCUCCGGCUAACUCCGUGCCAGCAGCCGCGGUAAUACGGAGGGAGCUAGCGUUGUUCGGAAUUACUGGGCGUAAAGCGCACGUAGGCGGCUUUUUAAGUCAGGGGUGAAAUCCCGGGGCUCAACCCCGGAACUGCCCUUGAAACUGGGAAGCUAGAAUCUUGGAGAGGCGAGUGGAAUUCCGAGUGUAGAGGUGAAAUUCGUAGAUAUUCGGAAGAACACCAGUGGCGAAGGCGACUCGCUGGACAAGUAUUGACGCUGAGGUGCGAAAGCGUGGGGAGCAAACAGGAUUAGAAACCCCUGUAGUCCAGCUGG